ACGCAUGCAAGUCGAACGAAGUAGCAAUACUUAGUGGCAGACGGGUGAGUAACAUGUGGGUAUCUGCCCUUUGGCCUGGAAUAACACGAGGAAACUUGUGCUAAUACCGGAUAAGUCUUUACGGAGAAAGCUUUAUGCACCAUUGGAUGAGCCUGCACUUGAUUAGUUUGUUGGUGGGGUAAUGGCCUACCAAGACUGUGAUCAAUAGCUGAUUUGAGAGGAUGAUCAGCCACAUUGGGACUGAGACACGGCCCAAACUCCUACGGGAGGCAGCAGUGGGGAAUCUUGCACAAUGGAGGAAACUCUGAUGCAGCGAUGCCGCGUGAGUGAAGAAGGCCCUUGGGUUGUAAAGCUCUUUCGUCGGGGAAGAAAAUGACUGUACCCGAAUAAGAAGGUCCGGCUAACUUCGUGCCAGCAGCCGCGGUAAUACGAAGGGACCUAGCGUAGUUCGGAAUUACUGGGCUUAAAGAGUUCGUAGGUGGUUGAAAAAGUUAGUGGUGAAAUCCCAGAGCUUAACUCCGGAACUGCCAUUAAAACUUUUCAGCUAGAGUAUGAUAGAGGAAAGCAGAAUUUCUAGUGUAGAGGUGAAAUUCGUAGAUAUUAGAAAGAAUACCAAUUGCGAAGGCAGCUUUCUGGAUCAUUACUGACACUGAGGAACGAAAGCAUGGGUAGCGAAGAGGAUUAGAUACCCUCGUAGUCCAUGCCGUAAACGAUGUGUGUUAGACGUUGGAAAUUUAUUUUCAGUGUCGCAGGGAAACCGAUAAACACACCGCCUGGGGAGUACGACCGCAAGGUUAAAACUCAAAUGAAUUGACGGGGACCCGCACAAGUAGUGGAGCAUGUGGUUUAAUUCGAAGAUACGCGCAGAACCUUACCAACACUUGACAUGUUCGUCGCGACUCUAAGAGAUAGAGUUUCGGUUCGGCCGGACGAA
rnacentral:rRNA from 1 species